rnacentral:rRNA from 1 species
ACGUUUAGUUGCUAACAGGUGAAGCUGAGCACUCUAGACGAAACUGCCGUUGGACAAAAACGGAGGAAGGUGGGGAUGACGUCAAAUCAUCAUGCCCCUUAUGUUCUGGGCUACACACGUGCUACAAUGGCCGGUACAGACGGAGGCGAAGCCGCGAGGCGGAGCAAAUCCGAAAAAGCCGGUCUCAGUUCGGAUUGCAGGCUGCAACUCGACUUCGUGAAGCUGGAUUCGCUAGUAAUCGCGCAUCAGCUAUGGCGCGGUGAAUACGUUCCCGGGCCUU